GGCAGUAGCUCAGUUGGAUAGAGUAACUGGCUACGAACCAGUAGGUCGGGGGUUCGAGUCCCUUCUGCC
rnacentral:tRNA from 1 species